rnacentral:rRNA from 1 species
ACGAACGCUGGCGGCAUGCCUAACACAUGCAAGUCGAACGAAGCCUUCGGGCUUAGUGGCGCACGGGUGCGUAACGCGUGGGAAUCUGCCCUUUGGUUCGGAAUAACAGUUAGAAAUGACUGCUAAUACCGGAUGAUGACUUCGGUCCAAAGAUUUAUCGCCUUUGGAGGGGCCCGCGUCGGAUUAGGUAGUUGGUGAGGUAACGGCUCACCAAGCCUGCGAUCCGUAGCUGGUCUGAGAGGAUGACCAGCCACACUGGGACUGAGACACGGUCCAGACUCCUACGGGAGGCAGCAGUGGGGAGUAUUGGACAAUGGGGGCAACCCUGAUCCAGCAAUGCCGCGUGGGUGAUGAAGGCCUUCGGGUUGUAAAGCCCUUUCGGCGGGGACGAUGAUGACGGUACCCGCAGAAGAAGCCCCGGCUAACUUCGU